UAUCCCUGAUGAUAUAUAUUUUAUUUUCUGACAUCUCUUAUGAAUCACUGUGAUUCCAAGAAUUAACAAUUUAUACUGAUAUA